CCCUCACUCAGACCAGAUGGUCAAUGCUUGCAGAGCAGUAACUGGGCAAGAUAAAGGAGGGAUGAAAAUCACUAAAUUCAGCACCCAAGGAGCCAGUAGCAUCCUGUUGCAAGUCAUUCCUUUGCUAAAUACUUUUAACAGCCUCAGAGUGUCAGCACAGCCCUGGGAGUCCUGUGGAAUGAGCAGCUCCAGGUGCAGAUCCCAGAGAGCAUCAGCAAGUAGAUGGCAGAUCUGAGACACCAGUUUACCUCUUUUGGAUUCCAAGAGCAUGAAUAACACUGAGCUGCCACUGCUGAAAGACCACUGCUCCUGGGAAGAAUGAGGUCUUUUGGAGGAUCACAUCCAGUGACAGGCCUUUGCAGACUGGAAAGAAAUCAUGGAAGGGUGCAUCCCUUUAAGAAUAAGGUUGGCACUGCUAACAAUAUGAAAUCCACAUAGGGAAUCAGCACAUCAUGAACUCAUGGAAGAAGUUCUGCUGCAGGGAUUUAGUCAAAGUCAUGCUCCAAACUGGGAUAAAAUCAGCAUGAAUACAUUGGUCAUGGCCUGCUUAGUGCAUUGGUGGCUCCUAAAUGAGAAAAUGGAAACCAUAUCUUUCGUGGAACUGAUGCAGGAACAUUUGCCUGAAGGAGAUCCGUCUAUUAGCAUUUUCCACUCUAUCUCUGACAUCUAGUAGAUUGUGACAUUGCUUUCCAUGCCUAAAUGAAAGAGCAAGAUUUAAGUUUUCUCUUUUAAACAAGAAUGUAAAUAAGCAGACAACACAGCUUGGAGUCUCUGCACAUACAGAUAAUCCCAGGGCAGACCACACUAAUACCAGUAAGAAGAAAAUUCUGAUUUUUGCAAAAAAACUGAAUGAAGUCCUCUUAAUCUUCCAGGGGUAACUCUAGCACAAAAAUAUAUUUUUAACUGAGAUAUAAUCAUAUUCAAACCAACAAGAUCAAAUAUGUUUUGCUAUCAGAUUGGAAUAAAUAAAUUACAUUUCACA
rnacentral:lncRNA from 1 species